rnacentral:rRNA from 1 species
UACGGGGGGGGGUAAGCGUUGUUCGGAAUUACUGGGCGUAAAGGGCUCGUAGGCGGCCAACUAAGUCGGACGUGAAAUCCCUCAGCUUAACUGGGGAACUGCGUCCGAUACUGGAUGGCUUGGAUUUGGGAGAGGGAUGCGGAAUUCCAGGUGUAGCGGUGAAAUGCGUAGAUAUCUGGAGGAACACCGGUGGCGAAGGCGGCAUCCUGGACCGGUAUUGACGCUGAGGCGCGAAAGCUAGGGGAGCAAACGGG